rnacentral:rRNA from 1 species
GCCAGCAGCUAGCUCUCUGCAAAUCUCACAUGGUAGCCAACUGAAGCUAAACAGGGCUGUGCAAGGUCAGUACCUGGAUGGUAGACCACAUGGGAAAGCAUGAUGCUGCAGGAA